rnacentral:rRNA from 1 species
UACGGAGGGUGCGAGCGUUAUCCGGAAUCACUGGGUUUAAAGGGUGCGUAGGCGGGGAUUUAAGUCAGAGGUGAAAUGCUAUUGCUUAACGAUAGAAUUGCCUUUGAUACUGAGUUUCUUGAAUGGAUAUGAGGUUGGCGGAAUGUGACAAGUAGCGGUGAAAUGCAUAGAUAUGUCAUGGAACACCAAUUGCGAAGGCAGCUGACUGGUAUUAUAUUGACGCUGAGGCACGAAAGCGUGGGUAGCGAACAGG